rnacentral:rRNA from 1 species
CUGGCGGCAUGCUUAACACAUGCAAGUCGGACGCUUGUAGCAAUACAAGAGUGGCAGACGGGUGAGUAACGCGUGGGAACGUACCCCAAAGUUCGGAACAACGGCUGGAAACGGUCGCUAAUACCGGAUAAACACGAGAGUGGAAAGGUUUACCGCUUUGGGAGCGGCCCGCGGUGGAUUAGGUAGUUGGUGGGGUAAAAGCCUACCAAGCCUACGAUCUAUAGCUGGUCUGAGAGGAUGAUCAGCCACACUGGGACUGAGACACGGCCCAGACUCC